rnacentral:rRNA from 1 species
CAGCAGCCGCGGUAAUACGUAGGGUGCGAGCGUUAAUCGGAAUUACUGGGCGUAAAGCGUGCGCAGGCGGUUCGUUAAGACAGAUGUGAAAUCCCCGGGCUUAACCUGGGAACUGCAUUUGUGACUGGCGAGCUAGAGUAUGGCAGAGGGGGGUAGAAUUCCACGAGUAGCAGUGAAAUGCGUAGAGAUGUGGAGGAAUACCGAUGGCGAAGGCAGCCCCCUGGGCCAAUACUGACGCUCAUGCACGAAAGCGUGGGGAGCAAACAGGAUUAGAUACCCCCGUAGUCCCUGUCUCUUAUAC